rnacentral:misc_RNA from 1 species
UACAUUUAUAUUUUUGAACAAAGAAAUUUUCAUCCAUUGUAUUUUGUUAUGCUUACAGAUAUAAACAUAUUACUUCUGAUAGCCACUCACAUUGUAGGGGGUUAUGCGGGACUUCCGUUGCCACAAAAUCAGUUGCGAUGCCGUGUCUGUACAAGAGCUCGAGACUUAUCUGAGUGCGACCGUAUGCAGUUUGUGACAAGACACUCGAAGUUAUGACUGAAUCAAGUAGUUGAUUAACCAACAUCCGAACAAUGCAUCUCGUUAUUCUGACUGUUAUAACAUUUCAACUUAAAUAAUUUUGAAUUCAUUUGAAAUUAGUUGCAGCUUUGACCACACGUAUUAUAGGAAGCAAUAAAAAAGCAAUGUUUACAAUUUGUAUAAGCUUGCGCAAAGACAAAUCUUCAAAACCAUCUUGUACACAGGAAAUUUCAUAACAUGAACAUUCAUUUAAGCCAUAAUAUGUAAAUGACAGAGAUGUUACCGUACUUCUUAUGGAUACCUUCAUAUAUAGAAUUACGUAUAAUAUAUGUAUAGAUUUUCAAAGAUACCAACAACAAAUGACCAUGUUACAGAACUGAUGAAUGAUCACUAGCUCUUACCAUAUUCAUUUACAGGAGGAGGCAAGCUAUUUCUUUCGCAGGAAAAUCAAGUCUGUUUUACAAAUCUGUAUACGUACAUACAAGCUCGCUAGUUUGCGAAAGCUAAAUUUUUCACAAUUACAUUUCCUGAGAGUGUGGGAAGCGUUUUACAAUUUAUCUCUAAAUAAUGAAAGCCUGUAUAAUAAAAUUUUUGUACAAAUACUUUUUCUGUUUUAACAGUUGAAUUGGUGUGUUACAUGUAAAUCUCUAUUAAAACAAAGCUUUGUUGUGUUACCUCUCAUGAACAGACUCAAUCAAACCGAGUCUGCUAUUAUUCUUCUUGAUUGCAUUCUUUGCUUCCAAAGGAUCUUUUUACAUAUUUUAUUUACUGUGCUGCCUUUUCAGGAAUGUUACCUAGACAGAAUGGUUUCAAGCCAACACUCAGUUGUAUACAACGGCGGUUGUAGAUCUAAACGUAUCUGUGCACUUGCAACUUCCAUAGGAAAAAAGAGAGAAGCUCUUACUUGCUCAAGUUGCUGUAACACCGACGAUGAGUGUAACAAACGGUUAUGUGGAAUAAAAGGAAGUGAAGUACAUUCCAAUCAAUGUUAUAUGUGUAGGGAGGGAAGCUCUGGUCAGGCGGCGGUAAGAGAUCCGGCUCAGUGUGUCACGCUUGGUUACUGUCAACCAAAUGAGAUGUGUUCCGUCGCUCAGAAUGACGAUUAUGGACAUGACACAUUUAGUUAUGGCUGCACGAACGCAAUUCCAUGUAAGUUUAUCAUGAAACAGGCUUACGAACUGUACAAGGUAUGUGUUGCGAAUGUUUCACUUCCUGAAGCCGGGUAGACAUGGGUCCAGGCAUGUGGCAACAUUGGUAAACGGUCGACCGAACUCUGUCAUGCUUGUUGCGCGGAUAGAAACUGCAACCACGGCACUUGCGAGGGCUUAAGGGAGCGCAUUUUCAAGCUAGCAUUACAAGGAAAGUUUGAUCUUCAGACGCUUAAAGCUAUUCCACAGAAUGCCUAAUUGGUGGUUAAUAUGUGUUCCUAUCCAUUAAAAUAAAUGCUUUCUGCUUUGUAUAUGUGUUCUAGGCUUUGAUUUUGUUUAGUCAUUUUAUUGGUGACCUGCUUGACAGUUACGAUUACUAAAGGUUAUUUUCUUCUCAU